rnacentral:misc_RNA from 1 species
UUUUUUUUUUUUUUUUCAAAUCAUAGGCUGCUGCAAAUGAGAAUUUCAGAGAAAAGUUCAGAAUAUAGAGAAAUGUGAAGAUGGCAAAUAGCUAACCGACCAUCCACCAUCGUGGCUUAAACUAUGGAGUGCUCAACUUUUUCAGGGAAAUAUUAGUAAAAAAAAUUUAGAGAUGAAGACAAGAACAUACACCAUUGUGACAAAGAGAAGGAAUCUUCUUUUUUAUAUAAAUGGAAGAGGAAAUGUGAUGUUUUUGUGCUAUCCUAUAAAUCUUAGUGGAGGACAAGAGAGUCGUUACUUUCACUUUCUUUCUUCCACAAUUUUUUUUAACUUCCUUUUCUAUGCUUUGCUUUUGUGUAGUUAGGCCCUUUUUGAAUAGACUGUAGAUGGCUUUCUUACAAAGUGAGACAAGGAUGAGGAUAAUGCUACAAUAUACACACAAGCAAAGCAUGAACACUCUAAG